rfam:Schistosoma rodhaini strain Burundi genome assembly, scaffold: SROB_scaffold0000228
AUCCAGAUUACGAGUCCUAAAUAGGAUGAAACGCGCGUCCUGGAU